ACCUGGAUGGCUCAGUCGGUUAAGCAUCUGACUUUGGCUCAGUUCAUGAACUCACAGUUCGUGAGUUCAAGCCUCGCAUCAGGCU
rnacentral:tRNA from 1 species